CUCACACUCAUUCUCUCAUGGCUCCGGAGUCAGAAGUCCAAAACCAGCCUCACUGAUGUGGCGAACGCCCGGUAUGGGCCGGGCUGGCUCCUCCCCGGGGCUCCCGGGGAAUCUGCUCCUUUGCCUUUUCCAGUGUCUGGAGGCGCCUGCAGUCCUUGGCUCGUGGCCCCACGUCACUCCCACCUGUUUCUGUCGUCACAUCUCCUCCUCUCGCCCUGACCUCUGCCUUUCCCUCACAAGGACCCUGUGAGGACCCUGGGCCCACCCGGAUAAGCCAGAUCGUCUGCUGUCUCAAGCCCCUAAGGUGAGGGCACUGGGAGGGAACUAUCUGGAAUAUGGCGCUUGCUGUGGAGAGGCUGGCUGCUGAGAGGACGCCCUGCUGGCUUCUGUGACUGGGGACCCUCUGAGGAGCAGGACAUGGAAGGUUGCUGGAAGCUUCCCCACCUGCUGGCCGGAGCCGUGCUGGCCUGCGGCGUCUCGGAGCCUUCAGAUCUUUCCGAGUGAAGUGAUGGAAACUGGGGUCGGAGAGGCGGAUGCUCUGCCCGGGCCCGCAGCCGGGAGGCAGGAGAGGAAGGCUCAUGCCUGGGCCUCCGCUUGGCCGGCCCGUCCCCGGAGAAGAAGAGGAGGUUAGGACACAGACACGCAGAGGAGGAGGCAUGUGAAGACGGAGCAGCAGGCACUGGAGGGACGCAGCCAUAAGCCAAAGGACGUCUGGGGCCCCAGGAGCUGGAGGAGGCAGGAAGGACCUUCCCCUGGAGUCUUCAGAGGGAGCGUGGCCCUGCCACACCUGGAUUUUGGCCUUCUGGCCUCCAGAACUGUGAGGGAAUAAAUUCCUGUUGACUUAAGCCCC
rnacentral:lncRNA from 1 species